CCUACGGGGGGCAGCAGUGAGGAAUAUUGGUCAAUGGACGAGAGUCUGAACCAGCCAAGUAGCGUGAAGGAUGACUGCCCUAUGGGUUGUAAACUUCUUUUAUAUGGGAAUAAAAUGUUCCACGUGUGGGAUUUUGUAUGUACCAUAUGAAUAGGGAUCGGCUAACUCCGUGCCAGCAGCCGCGGUAAUACGGAGGAUCCGAGCGUUAUCCGGAUUUAUUGGGUUUAAAGGGAGCGUAGGUGGAUUGUUAAGUCAGUUGUGAAAGUUUGCGGCUCAACCGUAAAAUUGCAGUUGAAACUGGCAGUCUUGAGUACAGUAGAGGUGGGCGGAAUUCGUGGUGUAGCGGUGAAAUGCUUAGAUAUCACGAAGAACUCCGAUUGCGAAGGCAGUUCACUGGACUGCAACUGACACUGAGGCUCGAAAGUGUGGGUAUCAAACAGGAUUAGAUACCCCUGUAGUC
rnacentral:rRNA from 1 species